GACGAACGCUGGCGGCGUGCUUAACACAUGCAAGUCGAACGAAGAGCGAUGGAAGCUUGCUUCUAUCACUCUUAGUGGCGAACGGGUGAGUAACGCGUAAUCAACCUGCCCUUCAGAGGGGGACAACAGUUGGAAACGACUGCUAAUACCGCAUACGAUCUAAUCUCGGCAUCGAGGAUAGAUGAAAGGUGGCCUCUACAUGUAAGCUAUCACUGAAGGAGGGGAUUGCGUCUGAUUAGCGAGUUGGAGGGGUAACGGCCCACCAAGGCGAUGAUCAGUAGCCGGUCUGAGAGGAGGAACGGCCACAUUGGGACUGAGACACGGCCCAGACUCCUACGGGAGGCAGCAGUGGGGAAUCUUCCGCAAUGGACGAAAGUCUGACGGAGCAACGCCGCGUGAGUGAUGACGGCCUUCGGGUUGUAAAGCUCUGUUAAUCGGGACGAAAGGCCUUCUUGCGAAUAGGGAGAAGGAUUGACGGUACCGGAAUAGAAAGCCACGGCUAACUACGUG
rnacentral:rRNA from 1 species